AUUAAAUUGUUUAACCCUUUAACUCCCAGAAGUGAUUAACAUAAAACUUCUCCCUCAAAAACCAUACAUUCUUCAGCAAACAGGUGAUGAGAAUAUUCAAACUUAUCAGGUAGAAGCUGCUAUCUUGAUCUAGCACUAAGUUCUCAUAACUAAUUUAAAAGGAAAUGUGUGGCAGCUACAAGGGAGAAUUGACAAUCAGAUCUUGGGAGUUAGAGGGUUAAGUGUGAAAACUGAAGUGAAACUCAGAAGUGAUCUUAAUCAGCCUUCUUAUGAUAAAAUUACAGUGUAAUAACUAUAUCAUCAAAGACUAAGAAGAAAUUAGUUAAAUUUGCUUCUUUAAGGAUUUUUUUGGAAAUUAUUUGUUAUGCUUUCAGUUUACUUGGUUAAAAAAUAUUGUCCUCUAAGUUUGAAAAUUAUUAAUUAAUUCUACACCUGCUGUGGUUUAGUACUCCCAUAAACUGUUUUUUCCAAGCGACUUUCCUGUGGCACAAAAGGAUCCAUUCUGGUGGCCCUCAAUGUAAAGUCCAUUAGCAGCUUUUAUUGCCAUUCUGUUGUACUUAGGAAGUUCAAUACUGUACUCAUGGGCACCAGCUUCGUCAUUUGCCAACAUUACGUUGCCUUUCUCAUCACAGCACCAGUACUUACCAGAGUCGGUAUGGAUCUUGUACAGGCCAUUCUUGCAUGUCACAAGGAACACAUCAUAUUUAGAAUGAUUGCUCUCUAAUAAAUCUUUUCCAGAUUUCACUCCAACAAAGCCAUGUUCACCACGCAGCACCAGCAUGGGUCUGUUGACCAGCUCUGGCACAUGAAACCCUCUCUCCUGGUCAAUUUCAUCGCUGCCCUCGAUAAGAUGACCAUUGUCCUUGCCUGUGAUGUACUUCCCAUUUCCAGCUUUGAAAACAAUCUGUUUGCCAUGCCAUUCCAGCUCAAACCAGCAGUUAUCUCCUGGUGCUUCUGCUGAUGCUGUCAUGCCCUUCUCGCCUAGGUUCCAGUAUUUGCCAUUGGUUCCACGUACUGCUACCCGUCCCUUGUCACUGGCCUUGUCAAAUUCUAACUGGAAUAUCUCAGUGUCCUCAAGUUCAUCACGGCGACUAAGGAUCACAUCCAUUCCUAUUAAAGGGCAAGUUUGAAGGUAUGACUGUAAAGAAAUAAAGAGGAAUAUUGAACAACUGACUGGCUAACCUUCAUUGGCAAAUCUAAACCUGAUGAUGACUUGUGCAGACACACACCAAGGUCCCUUGCCUGUUAAAGAGAACAAAGCAAACACAGAGGUGCAAUUAGUCUUUCGUACUGCUGGAUUGAUUUAACUGUAAAACAGAUCAAGAGGUUUUAAAGUUCCUGGUGGUUCUUACCUUCAAGAGAAUCCAGUAGAAUUGAGAAGUCUUCAUCUUCUAUAAAUAUUUAAAAAAAAAGUGUUGUGAGUUACAACACAACAUUGUGACUAAUGAAGACAACAGUAUGCAUCAGUUAUAUUUUGAGGUACAGCUAACAAACAAUCCCAAAAUUCUAAAAUCAACUAUAUGUUCAUUUAGUACUUUAGCCAGUGAGCCAAUGGCUCUCUGUAUUACAACAAACAAGCACAUCCUGUACUUGAGAGUUACUGUCAUAAGCAUUGCUUCUCAGCAAACAAUUUAAAGAAUUUUUUUUCUAAGUCAAUAAGGAUUUUAAUGAUUACCUGUCCAACUUGUGCUGCUAACUAGGAGAGCAGGCCUCUGUUGUCUGAAAAGAAUUCUUCCAUCUUUUAACUGAAUGGUGAAUGCUGUCAUAGAAGUUACAUCAUUCUUGAAUUCUGAAGGACUUCCAAGAAGAGCAAGCAUUCACGUUUAUUGAUUAAAAAAACAAAACUUACAUGUGGAAACAGAAAUAAGAAAAUAAAAAAUGACUAUACCUUUCUGGUGCACUGAAAACUUCAUAUUCCUUGGAAAGCUUUAGAAAAAGCUGGAAGGUAAUGUAUUUAGAUAUCAACAUAAGCAAUCCAGACACACAAUAUCCAGUCUUAUCCAAAGGGAUAGCAUGAAGAAAGUUUGCAUCAAGUUUGAUAUA